UUCAAAAUGAUUUGUCCAUUGUUCAUUAGACCUUUUUACCCUUGUACAUUGGUUAACGUGAAGCUUUUUCUGUUGGGUCAGGUGGAUGAAAAUUUAAGAGGCAGAUUUGCUGUUUUGUUGGUAAAAUUUGUUACUUCCAAAAAGAUUAUAAGAUAAAAACCGGCGAAUUGGGUUUGCCAAAAUGCGUUGUGUUAGGGCAGUUCGGUGUCUCUUGUUCAAAGAGUAACUAAUCUAAAGGAUGAUGGAGAUAAUACUCGAUGAGUAUAGAGAGUGUGUUCAAGCAGUCAUUUUCAGUAUAUCACCAAGUGUUUGUCCGUAGUGACCUAGGCGUACCUGAUUGUGUCUCAGCGUAAGAGAGGAAACAAGAUCAUCUUUUGACGUUUCUUUCAGCGUUAUAACACGUCAACUUACGAGUGUGAUCCCCUUAGUAUGCUUGGUUUGAAUCGUCCAUUGUAACUGUCGGUGUAGUGCUAAAUAGCACUUGGCACCUUUGUGAGAUCAGGACUUGCUGGUUAGUGUUUAUUGCUGAGGAGGGAGGCUAUGUGGCUCAUCUUCUGUUCGUGUAGUACAAGAGACUCCUGCUUUUGUGGCCUCUUUCCUGCUACUUUAACUGUGGCUGCAUUGACCGUGAAUGAGAUCAGGCUGUUAUAUAAAUUAAACCUGUGGACAUGUGGCCAUUGAAGUCAUCGUUAGUGUUGCCAUGGCUUCAUUUUCAUCAGUGUUGGAAUUUUUAUGGGCAAUUUUGGUUGUUCCCAAUCAUUAGGAAUUUUAUUUCCACAAUAUAUGACUAUAUGAAGAAAUUCUAUUCUUCCUGAGUACCUAAUAACUCAGUUGUUGCCGUUUCAUUGAUUUUGUUUUCUUUUCCGUGAUAAAUCAACAGAAGUGGAUUUGUAGAGGAAGAGGAGAGGAUACUGGCUGUACACGAAUCUGAUUGGAGUUGUCCUCAAACAUUUGCGAAUGAAAUAGACUAGUAGUUGCUGCAGUGUGAAAGGAAGAAAUAUAAUGCCUUGGGGAAUGUGAGUGGGACUUGAAGACUCGUGUGCUGUAAGGACAUGCUCAGUUACCAGUAAUAUGUUCUCCAUCACAGAUGUGACUUUGUUCCUUGUCCUCUAGUGGUGUGUUGUGUUGUGUGUCUGAGUUAAAAGAGCAGCUUUCAUUUCUGCACCAAAUCCCACUUGAACAGGAAACUCAAGAGGGCUCAGGGUCUCCUGUUGCUGCAGACUGCUCAGAUCAUGCAGUUUUUGCAUUUGGCUAUGAAGAGAGGAGUAAAUGGCUACCUGAUGGCACAGCAGAGAGAUGGUGGUGCUAUGGAUCGUGAAACGAAUGGGAGGCAACAACAUGUUGCUGUGGCAAAAACAGGCAGAAGAUGUUUUGAGGCACAGCAUUAUAGGUCUUUACUCGCUGUGGCUGCUCCGUUUGCAAACCCCGACAGAGGCAGCAGCGUCUGUAAGAUCCCAGUGUGAGGUAAUCAAUGAGAGUCGUGAAAGUGAGCUGAUGUGGAAGGGAGAAAACAAGACCAUUUUGGAUUCAGAGACCCAAAGAACGGUCCUAAUGUGCACACAGCAAAUCACUGGUCAUUCCUGAGAGAAAGCCGGAGGACUCUGGUGCAUAUCGCUGCUCGGUAUGGGCCAGGGUUGGAUAUGUCAUUCAGCAGGCAGAUGUCCUCCUUGCGGUGUCAGAGUGUUCCAUUGUGCAUCCAGUCAUUUCGACUGAGCAGACCCUUCUGGUGGAUUCAGAGCAAGGAAGCAGUAGGAGCUCCGAUUCCAUCUGCUGCAAAGGGGAAGUAAUUCCUGUGCCUAUUGUCUCCUGGGUCUCUUGGCAUUCAGCCUGGUGAAAGGGCUGCUCAGCAUUGUUCUUAGUCUGCGUGUAACAGCUCUGAAUCCUGCUCAUGUGGUCGUCGUGAGUGGAGAAAGAUCGCUGGAGUGGCUUUUUAGAGAACAGAAUUACAAUAAGACGUGGGAGGUUCUUACAAGUCACCUGUGAGCUGCUUCCUCCCGUUCCUGAACCACGUCUCCUGGGAGGAACUUUAAAUUGCCGUCUGGCUUAGCCUGGGCAAUUCAUACCUGCAGUAUGAAGUCAAGAAGCAUCUUCCUGCUGGGGCUCCUCACCCUGUGGGCAGAACUGCAGGCUGCACCCA